GAUUUUCCUUCGCCGGGUGGAGAUUGGGGUUACGUAUUGGAAUUUCUGGGCGAAUUACUUGCGGAAUUGCUUUUGCGGACUGGGGAAGUGUCACGCGUGCCUGUCACGUGGCUUGAGACAGGCUCAAACCGGUUCGACCCGUCAUACUCUGCACGUCAAGUAGCGCAACAAUGGCGGCUCCGGGGAAGAAACGUGAGAUAGCUCUGAAAACGGGGAAGAACGUCAACGAGGACGAAGCUUCGAGUUUUUCGGAAAGUGACGAGAACGAGAACGAGAAUGGUGCAGGGAAUGAGCAGGGCAUGGAGAUUCAAGUAGACUUCGAGGGGCGUAAUCCUCAAGAUCCGGACUACCAUGGAAUCAAGAUGCUGCUACAGCAGCUCUUUCUGAAAGCUCAUCUCGAUUUAGCGGCUUUAACGGAUUUGAUAAUAUCACAAAAUUAUGUCGGAUCCGUGGUAAAGCAAUCCGAUGACGGGGAGGAUGACGGUGAAGAUAUAUCAGAUGAGGACGAUUACGUAAAUGGCGUAUUCGGGAUAACAACCGUUGUCAAUUUAUCCGACAGACAGAAUCUUCCAUGUAUACAACAAUUGAGGAGCAUAUUGAAGCAACUGGCAAGUGAUAACGCUUCGGACGCAACAAAUGCCAUGAUUAAAAGGAUCCUGGAAGAUGAUUCAUCGACGUUAGGCUUAUUAAUUAACGAACGUUUCGUCAAUAUGCCUGCACAGAUCUCGGUACCUCUUCUCGAGAAUCUAAUGUGUGAGAUACAACGUGCCGUGAGUAAAAAAAUGCCCUUCGAGUUCACGUACUACAUCUUAAUUUGCAAGCUGUACAAAAUGGAGAAGAUUGUCAAAAAGACGGAGAAAAGCAAGCGGAGAGGCGCAACCGAGGAGCCUGAAAUUUUCUGGAGUAAUCCGGAAGAAGAGAUCUUCGCCAAAGAAGCGACAUUCAGUUUCGAAUUCUGCGUAGAGAAGGAAGCAGACAGUGGCCUCGUUGGAAAAUGGGGCGAAUGCGACGACGAGAUGACGCCGUAUAGGAGAGUCCUUCUCUUCGAGGCUUCGAAACUUCAACCUAUUAUAGAUAAGAUUAAGAGAUUCGUCUCUUAACCAAUGAGCGCCGAUCGUUAUGGAUGAGAAUUAUACCCUGACUGCUUCUGAGGAAACUACCUCGCUUCUUUCACAGCCUUGAGAGAGAAACUGUAUCUCUCGCCACGCGCUGAAUUAAAGAACUGUAACUUCUUAGAGAUGCUGGAGAGGGUAAAAAAUUACCAGGCUGUUGCGGUACCGCAGGAUUCUUUUUAACGAUGCCGAGGAUGUUCUCCAUG